UGGGGAAUAUUGGACAAUGGGGGCAACCCUGAUCCAGCCAUGCCGCGUGAGUGAAGAAGGCCUUCGGGUUGUAAAGCUCUUUCGGCGGGGACGAAACGGUCCGUGACAACACCACGGACUAAUGACAGUACUCGCAGAAGAAGCACCGGCUAACUACGUGCCAGCAGCCGCGGUAAUACGUAGGGUGCAGGCGUUAAUCGGAAUUACUGGGCGUAAAGCGUGCGCAGGCGGCUCCUUAAGUCAGAUGUGAAAUCCCCGGGCUUAACCUGGGAACUGCGUUUGAAACUGAGGGGCUAGAGUGUGGAAGAGGGGGGUGGAAUUCCAGGUGUAGCAGUGAAAUGCGUAGAGAUCUGGAGGAACACCGAUGGCGAAGGCGGCCAACUGGCUCGAUACUGACGCUGAGGUGCGAAAGCGUGGGGAGCAAACAGGAUUAGAUACCCCUGUAGUCCCUGAGCGGGCUGGCAAGGCGCAU
rnacentral:rRNA from 1 species